rnacentral:rRNA from 1 species
GUGUCAGCAGCCGCGGUAAUACGGGGGGGGCAAGCGUUGUUCGGAUUUACUGGGCGUAAAGGGCUCGUAGGUGGCCAAUUAAGUCAGGCGUGAAAUCCCCAGGCUCAACUUGGGAACUGCGUCUGAUACUGGUUGGCUUGAAUUCGGGAGAGGGAUGCAGAAUUCCAGGUGUAGCGGUGAAAUGCGUAGAUAUCUGGAGGAAUACCGGUGGCGAAGGCGGCAUCCUGGACCGAGAUUGACACUGAUGAGCGAAAGCCAGGGGAGCAAACGGGAUUAGAUACCCCAGUAGUCC